CUCACAUCGCCCUUCUCGCCCUGACAGGCUACAGACUAACGCCCACGUUUGCUCCAGAUCAUCCCAUCCUCCCAGGGGGCAGGAAAUGGCUGCAAUGGAGCUGGCUCAGUUGUGGACACCGUUGGAAACAAAGAUCGAGGGGCAAGGGAGCCCAUCAGAAGGGAGGCCCUGCUUCCGUUGACCCUGUCUCAGGGACCCAACAAAAUGAAAAGAUGGUCACUCGGAAAGGGGCUGUGAGCCGUGUGUGUGUGAGAGAGGUGGGAAUUUUGGUGAUGCCA